AGAUGAAUAAGUCAGCACUAUUAUUUCUUCUUAUCGGACUUCUCUUCCUCACAAAUCCCAGCAACGGCGUAAAUAAUUGGCGUCGUCGACGGAGAUGGGUUUGGGACAUGAAAAGCGAAAUGCAGGAUCUUAAAGAUUCCGAAGGUGAAAAAUACUGGAGUGACAAACUCGCUGAUCGCGUGAUGGGAAACGUUGAAUGAACAAGAUGAUGGCCAAAGGUUGAAUAAUUAAUAAACGUGACUCACAUGAACGUUUUAAUAUCAAUCAGAAAUAAAUUCAACCACGGCA